UUAUGAGAGUUUGAUCCUGGCUCAGGACGAACGCUGGCGGCGUGCCUAAUACAUGCAAGUCGAACGCUUCUUUUUCCACCGGAGCUUGCUCCACCGGAAAAAGAAGAGUGGCGAACGGGUGAGUAACACGUGGGUAACCUGCCCAUCAGAAGGGGAUAACACUUGGAAACAGGUGCUAAUACCGUAUAACAAUCAAAACCGCAUGGUUUUGAUUUGAAAGGCGCUUUCGGGUGUCGCUGAUGGAUGGACCCGCGGUGCAUUAGCUAGUUGGUGAGGUAACGGCUCACCAAGGCCACGAUGCAUAGCCGACCUGAGAGGGUGAUCGGCCACAUUGGGACUGAGACACGGCCCAAACUCCUACGGGAGGCAGCAGUAGGGAAUCUUCGGCAAUGGACGAAAGUCUGACCGAGCAACGCCGCGUGAGUGAAGAAGGUUUUCGGAUCGUAAAACUCUGUUGUUAGAGAAGAACAAGGAUGAGAGUAACUGUUCAUCCCUUGACGGUAUCUAACCAGAAAGCCACGGCUAACUACGUGCCAGCAGCCGCGGUAAUACGUAGGUGGCAAGCGUUGUCCGGAUUUAUUGGGCGUAAAGCGAGCGCAGGCGGUUUCUUAAGUCUGAUGUGAAAGCCCCCGGCUCAACCGGGGAGGGUCAUUGGAAACUGGGAGACUUGAGUGCAGAAGAGGAGAGUGGAAUUCCAUGUGUAGCGGUGAAAUGCGUAGAUAUAUGGAGGAACACCAGUGGCGAAGGCGGCUCUCUGGUCUGUAACUGACGCUGAGGCUCGAAAGCGUGGGGAGCAAACAGGAUUAGAUACCCUGGUAGUCCACGCCGUAAACGAUGAGUGCUAAGUGUUGGAGGGUUUCCGCCCUUCAGUGCUGCAGCUAACGCAUUAAGCACUCCGCCUGGGGAGUACGACCGCA
rnacentral:rRNA from 1 species